GACGAACGCUGGCGGCGUGCUUAACACAUGCAAGUCGAACGGAAAGAGAUGAAAGAGCUUGCUCUUUUAUUAAUUUCAGUGGCAAACGGGUGAGUAACACGUAAACAACCUGCCUUAAGGAUGGGGAUAACAGACGGAAACGACUGCUAAUACCGAAUACGUUCUAAGCAUCGCAUGAUGCAUAGAAGAAAGGGUGGCCUCUACAAGAAAGCUAUCGCCUUAAGAGGGGUUUGCGACUGAUUAGGUAGUUGGUGAGGUAACGGCUCACCAAGCCGACGAUCAGUAGCCGGUCUGAGAGGAUGAACGGCCACACUGGAACUGAGACACGGUCCAGACUCCUACGGGAGGCAGCAGUGGGGAAUCUUCCGCAAUGGACGAAAGUCUGACGGAGCAACGCCGCGUGAACGAAGAAGGUCUUCGGAUUGUAAAGUUCUGUGAUUCGGGACGAAAGGGUUUGUGGUGAAUAAUCAUAGACAUUGACGGUACCGAAAAAGCAAG
rnacentral:rRNA from 1 species